ACUAAAAAGAAGUGCUACUUUAUAUUAUUUCAUGCAGUACCAAAUUCACAGACAAAAGAAAUUGAUAGUAUAAAGUUUCUUUCGUACCUUAAUUACCAAUGUCCUGCUGGUUGCCAACAGGGUUUUGCUUUUUCCUAUAAUCUCAUGGAUGCAUGCCUCUUGUCUUACUUGGAUGCUGAAUCUUACUUGUACUACUUGGUCCCCUCUUUUUAUCUAAACCAAUAUAAAAAUUUAAAUAAAAAUGUUUUUUUUCUGCGGAUGCAACAAGAAAUCUGUGUGCUUGUAUUGUAUUCGAUUAGAUUCGUAAUUUUAAAUCAUUUGCGGAAAAGUAUCCAAUCGAUCACGAUGAAUGGCUCUCCGAUGUUAGUUCAACUGUUAGAUGAAAAAGAGAAUUCUCUC
rnacentral:lncRNA from 1 species